UAUCUUUAUUAGAUCCAGACAGGCAACUACAGGAACUGUCGAACUGGAGAUACACGAGCCAUAUUCAGAUACAGAGAUGGAUCAAUAGAUUAAUGGAAUGGUUUUGAUACUAGCUAGUGGAAGACAAGACAGUGCGUUUGAAGGAAUAAGAUUAUAACUGAAGAAAUAUGCAAGGAGAAUUGCAUAGCUAGGCAUCCCGAUGCGAUGCCCAUGGCGCUGGAAUUUGUGAGGAUCAUUUUGGCCGGGGCCAGGUUAUGAUAUGCGUUUGUUAUUUCGUUUGUUGAGCAUAAAACUAAAAAUCCCUCAAAAAGAUUGAGAUUUCAGCACUAAAGGAGGGGAGAUUUU